rnacentral:rRNA from 1 species
GAUGAACGCUGGCGGCGUGCCUAAUACAUGCAAGUCGAGCGAACAGAUGAGGAGCUUGCUCCUCUGACGUUAGCGGCGGACGGGUGAGUAACACGUGGAUAACCUACCUAUAAGACUGGGAUAACUUCGGGAAACCGGAGCUAAUACCGGAUAAUAUAUUGAACCGCAUGGUUCAAUAGUGAAAGACGGUUUUGCUGUCACUUAUAGAUGGAUCCGCGCCGCAUUAGCUAGUUGGUAAGGUAACGGCUUACCAAGGCAACGAUGCGUAGCCGACCGGUGCGGGUGGUCGGCCACACUGGAACUGAGACACGGUCCAGACUCCUACGGUAGGCAGCAGUAGGGAAUCUUCCGCAAUGGGCGAAAGCCUGACGGAGCAACGCCGCGUGAGUGAUGAAGGUCUUCGGAUCGUAAAACUCUGUUAUUAGGGAAGAACAAAUGUGUAAGUAACUAUGCACGUCUUGACGGUACCUAAUCAGAAAGCCACGGCUAACUACGUG